rnacentral:rRNA from 1 species
GCCGCGGUAAUUCCAGCUCUCAAAAUGCAUAGAAAUUAUUGCUGCGGUUAAAAAGCUCGUAGUUGGAUCUGCAGCCGGAGCUCCGGUCCAUCUUCGGAUGUGUACUGGAUGUCUCCGGCUUUCUGACAGUGUUCGGCUCUGUGCCUCUAACCAGGUGUGGAUGUCCGAUACUGUAAGUUUACUUUGAAUAAAUCAGAGUGCUCUAAACAGGCGUUUUGCUUGAAUGAUUGUGCAUGGAAUAAUAGAAGAGGAUUUCGGUUCUAUUUUAUUGGUUUUAUAGACUGAGAUAAUGGUUAACAGAGACAAACGGGGGCAUUUGUAUGGCUACGUGAGAGGUGAAAUUCUUGGACCGUAGCCAGACAAACUACAGCGAAAGCAUUUGCCAAGAAUGUCUUCAUUAAUCAAGAACGAAAGUCAGAGGUUCGAAGGCGAUCAGAUACCGCCCUAGUUCUGACCGUAAACGAUGCCAACUUGCGAUCCGUCGGUGUUAUUCUCAAAAAAACCUGAUGGGGAGCAUCCCGGAAACGAAAGUCUUCCGGUUCCGGGGGAAGUAUGGUUGCAAAGCUGAAACUUAAAGGAAUUGACGGAAGGGCACCACCAGGAGUGGAGCCUGCGGCUUAAUUUGACUCAACACGGGGAAACUCACCCGGCCCGGACACCGUGAGGAUUGACAGAUUGAUAGCUCUUUCAUGAUUCGGUGGAUGGUGGUGCAUGGCCGUUCUUAGUUCGUGGAGCGAUUUGUCUGGUUUAUUCCGAUAACGAGCGAGACUCUAGCCUACUAAAUAGUUUGUGCAUUGUCUCUGCGCAUAAAACUUCUUAGAGGGAUUCGCGAUGUUCAGUCGCAAGAAAUUGAGCAAUAACAGGUCUGUGAUGCCCUUAGAUGUCCGGGGCUGCACGCGCGCUACACUGGCGAACGCAACGUGCUUGUCCUUGGCCGAAAGGCCUUGGUAAACCAUUGAAAUUUUGCCGUGAUUGGGAUCGGAAAUUGCAAUUAUUUUCCGUGAACGAGGAAUUCCAAGUAAGUGCGAGUCAUCAACUCGCGUUGAUUACGUCCCUGCCCUUUGUACACACCGCCCGUCGCUGCCCGGGACUGAGACAUUUCGAGAAACUUGGGGACCGUUGAU